GGGGUUCUGAGAGGAAGGUCCCCCACAUUGGAACUGAGACACGGUCCAAACUCCUACGGGAGGCAGCAGUGAGGAAUAUUGGUCAAUGGGCGAGAGCCUGAACCAGCCAAGUAGCGUGAAGGAUGACUGCCCUAUGGGUUGUAAACUUCUUUUAUAAAGGAAUAAAGUCGGGUAUGCAUACCCGUUUGCAUGUACUUUAUGAAUAAGGAUCGGCUAACUCCGUGCCAGCAGCCGCGGUAAUACGGAGGAUCCGAGCGUUAUCCGGAUUUAUUGGGUUUAAAGGGAGCGUAGACGGAUGUUUAAGUCAGUUGUGAAAGUUUGCGGCUCAACCGUAAAAUUGCAGUUGAUACUGGAUAUCUUGAGUGCAGUUGAGGCAGGCGGAAUUCGUGGUGUAGCGGUGAAAUGCUUAGAUAUCACGAAGAACUCCGAUUGCGAAGGCAGCCUGCUAAGCUGCAACUGACAUUGAGGCUCGAAAGUGUGGGUAUCAAACAGGAUUAGAUACCCUGGUAGUCCACACGGUAAACGAUGAAUACUCGCUGUUUGCGAUAUACGGCAAGCGGCCAAGCGAAAGCGUUAAGUAUUCCACCUGGGGAGUACGCCGGCAACGGUGAAACUCAAAGGAAUUGACGAGGGCCCGCACAAGCGGAGGAACAUGUGGUUUAAUUCGAUGAUACGCGAGGAACCUUACCCGGGCUUAAAUUGCAAAUGAAUUAUGGGGAAACCCAUACGCCGCAAGGCAUUUGUGAAGGUGCUGCAUGGUUGUCGUCAGCUCGUGCCGUGAGGUGUCGGCUUAAGUGCCAUAACGAGCGCAACCCUUAUCU
rnacentral:rRNA from 1 species